rnacentral:rRNA from 1 species
AUUGAACGCCGGCGGCAUGCUUUACACAUGCAAGUCGAACGGUAACAGGCCGCAAGGUGCUGACGAGUGGCGAGCGGGUGAGUAAUGCAUCGGAACGUGCCCAGUCGUGGGGGAUAACGCAGCGAAAGCUGCGCUAAUACCGCAUACGAUCUAUGGAUGAAAGCGGGGGACCGUAAGGCCUCGCGCGAUUGGAGCGGCCGAUGUCAGAUUAGGUAGUUGGUGGGGUAAAGGCUCACCAAGCCGACGAUCUGUAGCUGGUCUGAGAGGACGACCAGCCACACUGGGACUGAGACACGGCCCAGACUCCUACGGGAGGCAGCAGUGGGGAAUUUUGGACAAUGGGCGCAAGCCUGAUCCAGCAAUGCCGCGUGCAGGAAGAAGGCCUUCGGGUUGUAAACUGCUUUUGUACGGAACGAAACGGUCCUGGUUAAUACCCGGGGCUAAUGACGGUACCGUAAGAAUAAGCACCGGCUAACUACGUGCCAGCAGCCGCAGUAACAC